GUCUCUUUCGGAUAGUCAGUUUGUGUCAUGGUGCAGCUGCUUUCCACCGCUGAGGCUCUCGGGAGGGGGAAAGCUGUUGCAAGAAAAGGCACACGGUAAAUUCAGACGGGCUGGGGGCUCGUCCCCAUCUCCUCUUCAGCCUGGAAGAAAGUCAGGCAAGGUCAGGGCUGAAGCACACUUGAUUCCUGCCCUGGGUUUUGUGAGUUCAUUCACCGCAUUCCUGGAACGAGUGUGAAUAACAUAAAUUCAGCAUCUUUCUGCAGACAGCUUCCUCCCCUCCCACCUGCGAGGGGACUCUCCACCUGGAUCCAGUGCUCCACAGGAUGCUGGCAGCGUCACAGCGAGCAGAUUUACAGAUCCUCGCCGGAGGGUUUCAGCCAAGUCGCGCUCGUUCAGAGAUUUUCCAUCUGAGCGGGAGCGAGUUUGUUCCCUGCUGCCUGCGUCUUGGCUGCCCCUGUGCAGGACAUACGAGAGGGGAGCGUGCAGACGUGGAGCCGAGCCGGGUAUGUUUGCACGCUCAUUUCCCUGCAUCGUGGUAAGAUGCCUGUAAUAUCUGGUGGGGACCGGGGAAAAAUGCAUCCUAAUGGGUCGGUCUUCCCCCUCGUGCUGCCGAAGAAGAUGGUACCGUGGGGAGGUCGCAGCACCCACGAGGUGCUGUGUCCAGCCCUGUCCCUGCCCCAGGAGCUCACGGAGAGCUGUGUCCUGGACGUGGUGUGCAUGUGGGGCACAGGCAAUGAAAACUGGGCAACCGCUGCUGCGCACACGUCCUGCCGCUGUGCCGGCCCCUGAAACUCUGUUGCACCAUGGCCGGCCGGACCUCUGGCCACAGGGUGUUGGAAAGGGGCCAUGGGACGGGGAGAGCUUAAUGGCAAACCACCCCAUGCUGCCUCGCACAGCCAGGAGCUGAACUUUGCCACCAAAGCCCGGCUCUGAGCACAGCCUGUCCCCUGGGACACCCUUUCCUUUCCCUGAAAAAGUCGGGACAUUGCUGCCAGUGCCAGCUGCCCCUGUGCCUGGCCACCCUCCGCACAGCCUCCCCGCUGCAACUGGGGCUGGAUCCGGCUCCGCCGGGGGUUUGAGAGCCAUGCUCGGGUCUCUCCAGCUGGUUUGCUGCCUUUUUUUGGGUAAAGCACUGCUCUUCAGGUGCUUGCGUCCCACGUCACGGAAGCGUCACGCCUGCUCGAUGGAGGUUCACGUUGCUCUACACUGAGUAUCUGCAUCCUUGGCAUCCAUGUGCAGCCUGCUGGGAUGCUCACCGGCCCAGGGUGGGCUGCCAGCUACAGCCCCUUGGGAAGGGGACACAGGGACAAUGGGGACAUCCUUUCCCGCUUGCAAGGACAAGUGAGAUGUCUGUAAACCUGUUUAUUGCAGGCAUGACAAUGCUAUCUGCCCUGCCUGAUAACGGCAGGGACUCGGAUACCUUUUAAAGGAGAGAAAAGACAAGUGGAUGGUUGGAGCUCCAGAUAGUGGGUGCUGGGGCCAGGCGGUGACGUGCCAAUCCCUGGCCAGUGGCAUGUGCUGCCUGACGAGACCCAGCUCCUGCCAGCCCCUCGGCAUGCUCUUGCUCCCGUCCUACAUCUUCCCAUCUCUUGCUAAUCCUUUCUAAUCCCCUGGGCUCCGCUUUCCGAGCCGUGUACUUAUCCCACAGCCACCCUUCGGCAGUGAGGCUGGGCACCUGGCAUGUAUGGGCUGUGUCCCCCCUGCACGUGGCUGCCUCCCCAUCCCAGCUCGCCCUGGGCUCCUUGGGUUGGGGAGCAGGUUUGCCCCGCUGCAGGCAGGGUGCUGCCCUGCUCGCCCUCCCAUGCAGCCAAGCCUCAGCACACAGGAUGGCCAGAUCCAGGCCGGCAGGUGCUGCACAUCCAGGAGGACUGUGCAGAAAAAAUAAAACAAAAAAUAAAGGUUUUGCCUGGUUUUGUGAAA